AUCUUUUUUCAUUAUACAUCCAUAAACAACUCAAAGAUUUGGCAAAUUUGUGGAGAGAAAAUGUUCCAACAGCCCAAGAGGGCAUCACACUGACAUACAUGAGGAGCUGGUUUGCUCCCCCCACAUCCCACAAUGCACUGCUCUGAGAAGGAAACCUUUGGCUAGGUUUUAGAAAUGCAUCUGCUAAACAGAACUGAAAGAACAGUGGGAUUUCUCUGAGAGAUUUCCCAGAGCCACUGGGAUCCUCUCUCCUUCUGCCAUCAGGACUGAGGCUCCAUCUGAGCAGGAAAUGAUGAAGGAAUGCUGAACGAUGGAGUGGCAUCAGAAAAUUAGAGGUAAUCCUGCAAAAUCUCAGCAACAAAUUGAUGGAAGAGUCUAUUUGCAAACAAUCAGACGGUGAGACGCAUGUGUGCUGCGAAUUAAAAGGUGAUGGAAGGAGACAGAAGCAUCCACAAACGCAUGAUUAAUGAGCGCUGCGCCAGGGACUUUCACUGCAUGGUAAUCGGUAAUGAAAGGCGUAUGAAUGCCACGGCGUGGCUGCGGUAAAUAUUUGUCAGCACGCCUCUUUGUUCUGAGCAAGAAGUGAACAAAACAGGAACAAUGGCAGCCGAAAAAAAGACAGGAAAGAGAACGGUUACCAUAGUUACCAGAGUCACGAAGUCUCACAACAUGACAGCAGAAAUUGCUGGUUUGUUAAAGUAUUAAUCAAAGUGUUAAAAGCAAAUUUUCAUGCGUGUGUAAAAGCAUAGAAUUAAAGUCAAUCAUGUCUCCGCUCCGAGGUUCACAUUUUCCUGGGUGGAUCUUCUGCUGGCGUUCUCAUGUUAGCCGUGGGAUGUCGGCAGCCUCUUCUCUCUCAGGUUUGACCCUGAAGGUGAUAUCAGCCCACGACCCAACAGAGUGAAGAAAAAUCUGGAUGGAUGGAUGGUCACGGCUCAGUUUUACAGAUACACCGGUCCUGUUUAAAUUCUGGAAGAUCUUUCUGAAGGAAGUUUGCUUCUCAACCAACUGUGCAGAACGUGAACGUCUGGAGACCAUCUCCAGCAGGAACAGGAGGAACCCGCUGGAAACGGGACCAAGCCCUGAAGACCAUAGCGAGAUGCCUCAGGGACCACCGCCCCAGCUGGAAGGACAUCAUCAAGCCAAUCAGGCUCCUGAGGAGCAGAAGAGCAGGACUUCUCACCACCACCACCACUCCUCCUCUGGGAGCUGCCGCUUCCCUUCAGGUGACCAUUCUUGUGCUGACAACACUGUUUUCUGGACAGAGGAGGUCCAUGAACGGAGUAGAACCAGCAGCUCUGUGCUCAGAUGGAUGUCUGUGGAUAACUGA
rnacentral:lncRNA from 1 species